CAGCAGCCGCGGUAAUACGUAGGGUGCAAGCGUUAAUCGGAAUUACUGGGCGUAAAGCGUGCGCAGGCGGUUCUAUAAGACAGAUGUGAAAUCCCCGGGCCCAACCUGGGAACUGCAUUUGUGACUGUAGAGCUGGAGUGCGGCAGAGGGGGAUGGAAUUCCGCGUGUAGCAGUGAAAUGCGUAGAUAUGCGGAGGAACACCGAUGGCGAAGGCAAUCCCCUGGGCCUGCACUGACGCUCAUGCACGAAAGCGUGGGGAGCAAAUGGGAUUAGAUACCCCUGUAGUCCCUGUCUCUUAUAC
rnacentral:rRNA from 1 species